rnacentral:rRNA from 1 species
AUGAACGCUGGCGGCGUGCCUAAUCCAUGCAAGUCGAGCGAACAGACGAGGAGCUUGCUCCUCUGACGUUAGCGGCGGACGGGUGAGUAACACGUGGAUAACCUACCUAUAAGACUGGGAUAACUUCGGGAAACCGGAGCUAAUACCGGAUAAUAUAUUGAACCGCAUGGUUCAAUAGUGAAAGACGGUUUUGCUGUCACUUAUAGAUGGAUCCGCGCCGCAUUAGCUAGUUGGUAAGGUAACGGCUUACCAAGGCAACGAUGCGUAGCCGACCUGAGAGGGUGAUCGGCCACACUGGAACUGAGACACGGUCCAGACUCCUACGGGAGGCAGCAGUAGGGAAUCUUCCGCAAUGGGCGAAAGCGUGACGGAGCAACGCCGCGUGAGUGAUGAAGGUCUUCGGAUCGUAAAACUCUGUUAUUAGGGAAGAACAAAUGUGUAAGUAACUAUGCACGUCUUGACGGUACCUAAUCAGAAAGCCACGGCUAACUACGUG